ensembl:lncRNA
UUUAAAUUAAAUUUCCUUCACUAAGCCAGCCCUCUGGACUUCCAGGAAGCUGUGUUCCUAUUGGCUGUCCAGGUGGCUGCUUGGUGUUAUCAGGAACACCUGAGCAGCUCAGUGUCUUCCUGCUUCAUUUAGCUGCAGACAAACAUUUCCUCUGUUUCUCUUCACCACUGAACCGGGUUUGGCUCCAUUGCUUUAGUUCGUUCUUUAGGCGUUGGCUUGCAGCUUCCAGCAGUAAAAUAGACUUUAAUGUGUUUCUUGGUGUGUUUUAGGGCUUUGUACUGGAUAGUUGUCUUGGUAAAUGUGGUUCUUUAGCCACAGUUAGCACAUGGUGAUAAUGUGUGCAGUGAUUAGUGGAUUUGGUGCAGCUGAGUUGUGUCUUUAUCUUGGCUGUAGUGAGUCUUCAGAGGUUUUUGGUCAGACACAUUCUGUAUUCUUGUUUGAGAACCAACGUUGGUUGUCCAGAAGAGACUUUGAGAGUUUUUAGGAAGUUCUGGAGACCAGACUUUAGAGCAGCAGAAACAUUUGUCAGCAGUUUAAGCAGGAGAAGGUGAGCUUCAGAG